CCCUUAGAUGUUCUGGGCCGCACGCGCGCUACAAUGGCAGACUCAGCGAGUUACCUCUGUCGAAAGGCACAGGGAAUCUUUACAGUAUCUGCCGUGAUGGGGAUAGACCCUUGUAAUUUUUGGUCUUCAACGAGGAAUUCCUAGUAAACGCAAGUCAUUAACUUGCAUUGAUUACGCCCCUGCCCUUUGUACACACCGCCCGUCGCACCUACCGAUUGAAUGGUCCGGUGAAGUCCUCGGACCCAGUUGAACCUCGAGUUGAACAGGGAAAGUUGACUAAAUCUUACCAUUUAGAGGAAGGUGAAGUCGUAACA
rnacentral:rRNA from 1 species